CAUUCACAUUUAACAUUUCAGUCCAUUCACUGGUUUUUGCUUUUUAAAUAAAAAUAGGACAAAUUAUUCAAUUACUUGUCUCAAUUUAACAAUCUUGGAAAAGACUGGAAGGUGCUCUACAGUGUUCAGUUGACGUAAAAAUAGACCCGUAUUGAUUAUACAAAUCUAUCACGAGAGGUUCCCCAGUGAUAUUGAGUUGGUGUCCUUCUGGAACAGACAUCUGGUUUCCGCGUCUAAAGAAGCAUUCUCAGCAAGGUCUACUGAUGGGAGAACGUGUCACCCAGGCCCACUCUGUGCUCCCGGGCGGGACACGGAGGGACACAGGGGUUCACACAAACCCUUCUCAGACAAUCAAGAAAGUCCAAGCGGGGGCUUUGGGUUUACCUUAAAUGAGAGAUGGUUGUAAUUGUUACAUUAUCUCUGCUUGUGCAAGGCGGUGUGCAAUCAGUGUGAAGGAGAGAUGGAGGAAGGGGGCGGGGCUCUGCAGGUGUGCAGGAGAUGCAAGGCUCAGGGUCCAGGAUCCGCCGUGUUUCCAACGGGGAGGAAGGCAGGACUGCAAGCCUCUCUGGGGCUGAUGCCCGGGGAGCGCCCUACGGGCAGGUGCAAGAGGCCGUGGAGGCUUCCUCGGGACUCCCGGAACAUGGGAGUGGUCCCCUGAGACGUAUGCUUUGUGCCUGGGCCCAGGGUGGCGUGGGGGUUGCUGGUGGGAGGCAAGAAACAGGUUCUGGCGGCCAGCGGGCUCGCUGCCCACCGCGUGUGCGUGCGGCGGGGAGUGAGGGCCCGCAGACUCGGCCCUCUGACUGCUGGUCCUGCCCGCUGCCUGGCACACGCUUCUGACGCCCAAGAGGUGGCCAGACCUCCCAGGGUGAGUCUAGGGAUUCCUCUCUGCUUAAACGUCGAUUCUCCGUAAGUGACUGCCAUCGGUUUCGGAACCGCCACCCUUCUGAAAAUGAGCUGCUCGGAACCACAGCUCCUGGAGGGGCAGGGGACACCUGGGCUCGGGGGCUGUCGGCAUCUCCCCAUCAUCGUGAUCCCCACCACACCCUCUGCACAUUCUCAGUGAGAUCUGCCCCUGGGUGUCCUCCUGUCCCCAGGAAGGGACACUACACCACGUGAUGAGGACAUUGGCCGGCUCUGGCCAGGAGUUGGGGGCUGGCUUGGCUCCUUGUGAGGGGAGAGGCGUGUGCAGCUUGGGGGUUCCAGGGGGCCUGGCUCUCCCCCUGGCUGAUGUCAGAGAGGCCUUACAGGAAGAGACAGGACGACUGUGCUCCUGGCCGAGGGAGAGGCUGUUUACUAAGACACGAUGGCAGGUGGUACUGCGGACAUGGCUUCAGGACAGAAAGUGUAACAAGACAGGGCGAGGUGGGCUCCUUUGGGCCCCCACUGUGUCUCUGCUGGGGAUCAGCUGUUCAAGCAGAGGCAGGGCUCAGCCGCGAGCACAUGCCCUGUUCUCAUCUCGCCACGUGAGGCCUGGGUGAGGAUGACCUUGUGCCUGGGCACAUCCCUGGAUGGGCUGUGGGGCAAGCCCCCGGCCUGAGGACCCACCUGGCUGCUCAGAACCAACCUGCCAGGCACCCCCGCCACUUGUGCAUGCACGGGCUAAGGGCUCCAUCAACACCAACACUUCACUGAGUUCAUGGUUAGCUACGAGGCGCCCAAGAGAACGGACACCCAGGGGCUUGGGAUGGAUGGGACCCGGAUGCCUCCUGGUCCUGCGCUCAGUGCUGUGCAACUUUGUCCAAGUCUGUCACCUCUCUGAGCCUCUGAUUCCUCACGGACAACGUGGGGCGUGUAAGCAGGCCUCCCUCUGCAGACUGUCUGGAGGAGAGCGGGCUCGAGGCCGGGAAGGCGCUCCUUGCGGUCACAGGCAAAGCCCAUCAGAGUCAUCUGCUCACCGAAGCCCCCACGGGCCUCCCCUGCGCGUCUCAGCUACUACUGAACCCAGGGGUUUCACAAAGGAAGGAAGAACUGUGUCUACACAGACUGUCACCGGGGGGCUGAAGAAACAGAGCCGUAACAGCGAGAGGCCAGGGGCGGCCCCAGGUCGGUUUUCUGACUCCCAAGGUGUUUUUUCCAGCCAGCUGUGAACCACCCCCCGGAAGACACUGUCUGUUGUUUUGUCUUCACACCGCACAGCGCAGACUGAACCCCGACCACCAAGUGGCUCCCCAGGGAACUGGGAGGGAGAUGGAGGGCCCGUGGGCUCCUCCCUUCAGAAUCCCUGCACCCACACCCACCUGCAGCUCUCCCCACAGGCCUCUGUGUACCCAAACCCAAACCCAACCACAAAACCACCACGCGAGCUACUCAAAAUGGGACCAGUUCGGUGCCGAUAGCCACCCGGGACUUCAGUACUGAGACUGCAGAGAUUCGAGGAAGGAAGAGAAGGAAAAGAAGACGGAAAAGAGACUUUCUUACUCCCCAGUAGCCGCUGGAGCCAGAGGCCCAAACACCACAUGGACCCAGUGGGGGCCAGGCCACCUCUGUGUCCCGCCGCUGCUGGGUAGCUGCUGCCCUGCCCCUACCCCCACCUCCUCCCUCCAAGGUCAAGAUUUCUGGGGGAAACAGAGUCAGGGCAUCAGGGACGGUCUCACCCAAUGCCCUGGGGGGCAGUCAUCUCUGCCCAGUUAAUUUAUUCCCAAUAUGAAUCGACCCUAAUCCCAGGAACAAAUAAUUGAUUUUAAUUUUGCUUAAACCACGCGCACGCGUGCGUGCACACACACACACACACACACAUAUACCCCGAUUCAGAUUAAUCAUGGCCCCUCUGGCAGAAUAAUUAUAUUUUAUCUUCGGGAACAGACAUCUUUUCAGGGAUAUUAAGGAAGACGAGAGUCUGAGUCGUGACGGGGAGUCCGAUUGUUUAGGAAGGUCUAGGAGGUCUAGGCCCCAGACGGGGCCGGAAAUUGGGUUUGCUAACUUUGUGAGAUGGAAGGGGGAGAGGACAGAUUUCCUCACCAUCACAGGACCUGCCUCUAGUCCGCAUAAGCACGAGUGGGAGACAAAGGAAACUUCCCGAAUCAUUUCCAAAGCAUCCCGUGGCUUCCCGGGGUGAAGAUCCCCAGGAGCUCCCCUGUGUACCCUCUGCCUGGGCUGUGCCCACACGGCCUCUGACCCGAGGGAAGAUCUACGUGGGGUUCCAGCCACUGGGGCCCAUGGCUGCUUUGACUGCCAACCUGCUUUGACACCCACCCCUGCCCCAAGACCCCCCGGGCCCACUCUCCUGUGCUCCUGCAUUCAGCGGCUUCCGCCCACCGUCUCCUGCGUCCGGGGCCUGCCUUUGGCUCCCGGCCAUCAGUGCACACAGAAUCGGGGAUGCCCGUCUCACUGUGCGGGACCGGAGGGUGGGGGACCACUGGCUGUCAGCAUCCCUGGGGAGGCCACCCCCCCAGGCCUCAGACGGGACCACCCUCAAGGUCCCGAAUCCACCCUAGAAAGACCUAACAGCUCCAUCCCGCACCCGGCCAGGGCAGUGGGUGUCUAGCCUGGCCCUGUCUCAGGACACACGUCAUGGGACAAGGGGUACUGCGUCUAACAGGAGUUCCGUGGGUAAUAUCUAUCUCUUUGUUGCCCCCCAGACUCAAUUUGGAGGCCUCCCAACCCUCAGGCCUGGGCCCCCGGGCCCUGCCUGCUGAGCUCUGGGCCUGGCAGCCCCCAGAAGACCUUGAAUCUGAUUUAGACCAAGCCCCAGCCUAAAGUCUAGUGUAGACAGAUGCAAAUUCAAGACACCACAGGAAGAAACGUCCCGUCUUCCAGCAUCCACAACAGAACCAGGGGUAUCCGGCGACACGAGGGACAGCGAGCACAGACUGCCAACUUGCAAAGCAAACGGCAGCUGGGGAGGCCGGAGGUCAGGGCCCAGGGACACUGCCCUGUCUUCCAGCUGCCACGGGCCACAGCUCACCUCUCAUUUAUUUCACCAAGCCAAGUGUUUUGAAACCAGCUGCCUCUAUGGCGUUAGGAUUUGGGGGCCUUGUUUUGUUGUCGUUUUUUUCAUUGACGCCGUUAUAAAACCAGGGGCAAGUCAGGUUCUGGAGGGCGAGUUACACACAACCAACGGGUCUGCAGCCUUCAGAGUGGCAAGCGUGACUGCAGAGCUGUGACCCUCCUGUAAGAGCACUGCUCGGGGCAGGUCACAUGAAUUUGCAUUUCCUGGGCCGUGGGCACACGGGCAGGGCCUGCCACGUGAGGUCCCAGUGCCUGCCGCGGGGAAGGGCCCAGACGGGGGUCCACUGCCGGGGAGGAAACCUAGCCGCACAGCCGAUCGGCCAAGCCAGCCCUUCCUUCCCAAGUGGCGGUCAAAGCAGCGACGGGGAGGACAUCAAGGUCACUGCUGGGACGACAAUGCAGUGUUCCUACCAGGUGGAGACAAAGCACGGCGUCUCGGAGGCUGGCUGGAUCCUGCCUCAGCCUGCACAUCCGCCAGGGAUGAGGGUGUCAGCGCCCCCCCCCGGUGCCCUUCAAUUUGGGGAAACUUGGACACCUGGCUUGUCUGCUUUGGACCAGACCUGCCUCUACAGUUUAGUUAGUGUUAUUGCUUCUAAUGAUAGAAGGUAUCGGAAGCCCCGGUGGCUUUGGAGUCUGAUAAACACGGCAGGCUCGGGGUGGGGGUCAGGGGCCCGGGUCUGGGGAGCGGGGUCCUAGACACCCCGGAGCCGACCAGCCCAGGGCAGGGGCCACGGAAUCACGGGGACAUUCGGGGCUGCGUGCGAAUCUACUGAGGUUGGGUCCAAAAGGCGUGCGAGGGUCGGAAGGGGACACACGGACAGGGUCAUUCCAGAGGGGUGCAGCCCCGCCAGGCAGGGCGUGAUGCAUCUGGAAGCUCACACAUCAGCUGAUGUGAGCUGUUCACACGGCGUGUCGGGCUCACCUUCCUUUGGUCAGAAGGGAAGGGCAGCCCCUGUAACCGGUGCGCUAUUUACACAGCAUCUUAAAAUAAAGAAUUUAGAGAGAAUUCUACGCGGAAGGCUCUAACAUUUGUACACGAAUAUUGUACACGGUUAAAAAUAAAUAAGGCAAAUAUCAUACAGUCUUAUCACAAAUAAAAAGGACGUCGUUGGCCAAACCCCAAGGAACGCUAUGGCUGACGGGCCCCUGUGCCCACAGGAAGCAGGUAGGGUUUGGAACUGCUGAUGAUGGAAGAGGUGCUGCUUGUCAAAGGGGAGGCCUCGCCGCCGUCUCAGAGCAGCCGAGGCCCCGAUGGCUUCCCGCGGCCACGGGGACAGCGGGCCACAUGUCCCACGGCUUUGCCAGCGCACACGGAGGGUCCCGCGGCUCUGUGGACCCGAGCACGGCGGGGCUGGGCUCUCACCCCAGGGCUCAGGUCCAUCCGGCUCUGGUUGGUGUGAAUUCAGCGCCCGUGGCCGUGGGAGUGGCGACCCGCCGCCUCGCUGGCUGAUGGCUAGGGCGUCCUCCCUUCCACCGGCCGCGGCCCCUCAUCUUUAAACAGCAACUUCGUGCUUUGAAUCUUCCUGAAGGCCCUGCCUGCCCCGUCCACUUCUAAGGGGCCACGUGGUCACACUGAGCCCACAUAGCUGGCCCAGAAUCCAGUCCCCAGCUCACAGCCCCGGCCCUGACUGGCCCCAGCAGAGCUGCCCUGGCCGUGUGACACAGCAUCCAUGUGACACAGCAUGUUCACAGGGUCGUGGGCCACCGCGCUGUCCACCCCCUCCUGCUCCGCCCUGGGGUGGAAGCUCGGCCGUGACAAGUAGGCGGGGCGGCAAGGCCCUGGCCUGGGUCUCAGCCCCCAGGAGCAGGUGGGCACAGACAUGGGCACCUGCACGGGCCACCUGUCCACUGGGCGCUGGAGAUGACCCAGUUUCCUUCCCCGGAGGGAAUGGCUCCCCGUCUAUAAGGGAGAAGGGCAAUUCGGCUGCUCAUUCAGGGCCCGUCAGAGGAAAGACACAGUCCACCUGCCCAACUCCAUCACUGGCCUGUCCACACACAGCCAGGUGGCCAACUCUGCUGGCUGUACACACACAGCAA
rnacentral:lncRNA from 1 species